rnacentral:rRNA from 1 species
GGGUCAGUAGGUUCGUCGUGCCACCGGUACGUACUGGUCUCACUGAUUCCUCCUUCCUGAAGAACCGUAAUGCCAUUAAUUUGGUGUUGCGGGGAAACAGGACUGUUACUUUGAAAAAAUUAGAGUGUUUAAAGCAAGCUAGCGCUUGAAUACAUUAGCAUGGAAUAAUGAAAUAGGACGAUCGAUCCUAUUUUGUUGGUUUCCAGGAUUGACGUA